UACGUAGGGGGCAAGCGUUGUCCGGAAUCAUUGGGCGUAAAGCGCGUGUAGGCGGCCCGAUAAGUCCGCUGUGAAAGUCCAGGGCUCAACCCUGGGAUGCCGGUGGAUACUGUCGGGCUCGAGUCCGGAAGAGGCGAGUGGGAAUUCCUGGUGCAGCGGUGAAAUGCGCAGAUAUCAGGAGGAACACCAAUGGCGAAGGCAGCUCGCUGGGACGUGACUGACGCUGAGACGCGAAAGCGUGGGGAGCAAACAGG
rnacentral:rRNA from 1 species